rnacentral:misc_RNA from 1 species
CCAAUAGCGUAUAUUAAAGUUGUUGCAGUUAAAAAGCUCGUAGUUGAAUUUUAGGCCUGGCCGGGCGGUCCGUCUUUGGCGAGUACUGUCUUGUUGUCGGGUCUUCCUUCUGGUGAACCAGUAUGUCCUUUAUUGGGUGUGUUGGGGAGCCAGGACCAUUACCUUGAAAAAAUUAGAGUGUUUAAAGCGGGCUAUUGCUUGAAUAGAUUAGCAUGGAAUAAUAGAAUAGGACGUUGUGGUUCUAUUUUGUUGGUUUCUAGGACCACCGUAAUGAUUAAUAGGGAUAGUUGGGGGCAUUAGUAUUCAAUUGUCAGAGGUGAAAUUCUUGGAUUUAUUGAAGACUAACUAUUGCGAAAGCAUUUGCCAAGGAUGUUUUCAUUAAUCAAGAACGAAAGUUAGGGGAUCGAAGACGAUCAGAUACCGUCGUAGUCUUAACCAUAAACUAUGCCGACUAGGAAUUGGGCGACGUUAUUUUCACGACUCGCUCGGCGCCUUAUG